rnacentral:misc_RNA from 1 species
ACUGCGGAGACAUUAAGAGUAAGGGUCUCAAAGGCCCGACCUCCAACCCUCUGUUGUUAAAACUACCUUGUUGCUUUGGCGGGACCGUUCGGUCCUCCGAGCGCGCCGGUCUUCGGAUUGGCGAGCGCCCGCCAGAGUCCAACCAAACUCUUGUAUUAAACCAGUCGUCUGAGUACAAAAUUUUAAUUAAAUUAAAACUUUCAACAACGGAUCUCUUGGUUCUCGCAUCGAUGAAGAACGCAGCGAAAUGCGAUAAGUAAUGUGAAUUGCAGAAUUCAGUGAAUCAUCGAAUCUUUGAACGCACAUUGCGCCCCUUGGUAUUCCGAGGGGCAUGCCUGUUCGAGCGUCAUUACACCACUCAAGCACUGCUUGGUAUUGGGCAUCGUCCGUCGAAAGGCGGGCGUGCCUCGAAGACCUCGGCGGGGCUUAACCGGCUUCGGGCGUAGUAGAGUUAAAUCAAAACGUCUCAAAAGCUCCGGUCAAGACCCAUUGCCGUUAAACCGUCGAAAGACAUUUUUUCAGGUUGACCUCGGAUCAGGUAGGGAUACCCGCUGAACUUAAGCAUAUCAAUAAG